GAUGAACGCUGGCGGCGUGCCUAAUACAUGCAAGUCGAGCGAACAGAUGAGGAGCUUGCUCCUCUGACGUUAGCGGCGGACGGGUGAGUAACACGUGGAUAACCUACCUAUAAGACUGGGAUAACUUCGGGAAACCGGAGCUAAUACCGGAUAAUAUAUUGAACCGCAUGGUUCAAUAGUGAAAGACGGUUUUGCUGUCACUUAUAGAUGGAUCCGCGCCGCAUUAGCUAGUUGGUAAGGUAACGGCUUACCAAGGCGACGAUGCGUAGCCGACCUGAGAGGGUGAUCGGCCACACUGGAACUGAGACACGGUACAGACUCCUACGGGAGGCAGCAGUAGGGAAUCUUCCGCAAUGGGCGAAAGCCUGACGGAGCAACGCCGCGUGAGUGAUGAAGGUCUUCGGAUCGUAAAACUCUGUUAGUAGGGAAGAACAAAUGUGUAAGUAACUAUGCACGUCUUGACGGUACCUAAUCAGAAAGCCACGGCUAACUACGUG
rnacentral:rRNA from 1 species